UAUCUCCACUAUAUACAUAUAUACUGUUUUAACUUCUCUUAGAGGUUAUUUUGGAGAAACAGGUUCUGUACUUGUCUUUUGUGUGUGUGUGUGCGCGGACCAGUUAUCUUCGCAAGCCGGGUCUUGAAUUUUUGGAUAUCCGUAUUUUCGAUACUGGAAGAGUCAAGACAUUGCGAAUCAGUCUACCAACCAAAUGAUAAGUUUUUUAUUUUCUUGUUUCUUUCAAUCUUUGACAUAACUUAGAAAGUGUCCCAACAUUUUUUAGAUGAUUCAGUAUAUCAAAUUCAUAAUGUUGCAAUUGAGCAUUUAAAAGAAUUCUUUCGUGAUUAAAAAAAUCUGAAGGAUAAAACUUUUCAACUAAAUUGCAUAUAUUCUUAAUAUUAAACAACUUAAAAUCGUCUUUAAGGUCCAAAGCAGUACUUAAAGUCAAAAACUCCAUAGUUUUCUCAUUGAAUCUAUUAUUUAACUCUUGUAUUUGAGAGUCAAAUGCUGCCAAAAAUACAUCUACUUGAUAAUGAUGCUCAAUUGUUAUCUUUGGUUAAUGAGAUCAACCUCUUCUAACCGUGCAUUGUGUACUCAUAUCAGUAAUGUCAAUUUCAUGUUUCUCACAAAACUUCUUAACAAUCUCAAGUAAAUUGCACCAACCAUUAUCCCUCACUUUUGAAGAAGUGGUUUUGAUGUGGAAACAACAUACAUUGCAUUCAAAAUAUCUUGAGAUUUUUGUUGUAAUGCUUGGCACAAAAUAUUAGUAAUCCCCAUAAUUUCCUUCAUCAAAUGUAACGAAAAAAUAAAUUCAAACCAAGAAGCUUGAAAACGACGACAAUGACUUGUAUCGCUCGAGAAUGGAUAAUUAUCAAGUAUUGGUUGAUUUGGUCCAUCUUUAAGAUAAGCUCGACGAAUUCCAUCUCUUUUACUUAGAUGAAACUUCUAAAUCAUUGGUCGAAUUCCUAGAUCUUUUACCAAAUGACAUACUUCAAUUUGUUCAGGAUUUAGUCAUGGGCGCUUUGACUUUGAAGUAUCUUGUUGAGGAGCUAAAGUAUUCAUGUUUGAUGCCUCAAGUAUUGAAGAGCAAAAUAUGAGGUUGCUUUAAAGAUACAUGCAGAACUUGUUUGUUGACAUUCUAUCAUCAUGAUCACUCGCCCAAUAAACAUCUGCAGAUACAAGGAGUCAAAAUAAACACAUAGGGUGAAUGUGAUACAAUGAUUAACCAUACCUGCCAAAAAUCAAAGUAUUCAU